UACGUAGGGUGCGAGCGUUGUCCGGAAUUAUUGGGCGUAAAGAGCGCGCAGGCGGUUGUGCAAGUCGCGUGUGAAAGCCCCCGGCUCAACUGGGGAGGGUCACGCGAUACUGCUCAACUCGAAGGCAGGAGGGGGAAGUGGAAUUCCCGGUGUAGUGGUGAAAUGCGCAGAUAUCAGGAGGAACACCGGUGGCGAAGGCGGAUCUCUGGGCCUUACCUGACGCUGAGGCGCGAAAGCUAGGGGAGCAAACAGG
rnacentral:rRNA from 1 species